rnacentral:rRNA from 1 species
UACGAAGGGGGCUAGCGUUGCUCGGAAUUACUGGGCGUACAGCGCACGUAGGCGGAUUGUUAAGUCGGGGGUGAAAUCCUGGAGCUCAACUCCAGAACUGCCUUCGAAACUGGCGAUCUUGAGUCCGGGAGAGGUGAGUGGAACUGCGAGUGUAGAGGUGAAAUUCGUAGAUAUUCGCAAGAACACCAGUGGCGAAGGCGGCUCACUGGCCCGGUACUGACGCUGAGGUGCGAAAGCGUGGGGAGCAAACAGG